rnacentral:tRNA from 1 species
GUUCCUGUAGUUCAAUGGAUAGAAUACCGGCCUCCGAAGCCGGAUAUGCGAGUUCGAUUCUCGCCAGGAACG